AACGCUAGCUACAGGCUUAACACAUGCAAGUCGAGGGGAAACGACAUCGAAAGCUUGCUUUUGAUGGGCGUCGACCGGCGCACGGGUGAGUAACGCGUAUCCAACCUGCCCACCACUUGGGGAUAACCUUGCGAAAGUAAGACUAAUACCCAAUGAUAUCUCUAGAAGACAUCUGAAAGAGAUUAAAGAUUUAUCGGUGAUGGAUGGGGAUGCGUCUGAUUAGCUUGUUGGCGGGGUAACGGCCCACCAAGGCGACGAUCAGUAGGGGUUCUGAGAGGAAGGUCCCCCACAUUGGAACUGAGACACGGUCCAAACUCCUGCGGGAGGCAGCAGUGAGGAAUAUUGGUCAAUGGACGAGAGUCUGAACCAGCCAAGUAGCGUGCAGGAUGACGGCCCUAUGGGUUGUAAACUGCUUUUAUACAGGAAUAAAGUUAGCCACGUGUGGUUAUUUGUAGGUACUGUAUGAAUAAGGACCGGCUAAUUCCGUGCCAGCAGCCGCGGUAAUACGGAAGGUCCAGGCGUUAUCCGGAUUUAUUGGGUUUAAAGGGAGCGUAGGCCGUCUGUUAAGCGUGUUGUGAAAUGUAGAUGCUCAACAUCUGAAUUGCAGCGCGAACUGGCAGACUUGAGUGUGCGCAACGUAGGCGGAAUUCGUGGUGUAGCGGUGAAAUGCUUAGAUAUCACGAAGAACUCCGAUUG
rnacentral:rRNA from 1 species